rnacentral:rRNA from 1 species
ACUACGUGAGGCAGCAGUGGGGAAUAUUGGGCAAUGGGCGCAAGCCUGACCCAGCAACGCCGCGUGAGUGAAGAAGUAUUUCGGUAUGUAAAGCUCUAUCAGCAGGGAAGAAGAAAGACGGUACCUGACUAAGAAGCCCCGGCUAACUACGUGCCAGCAGCCGCGGUAAUACGUAGGGGGCAAGCGUUAUCCGGAUUUACUGGGUGGAAAGGGAGCGUAGACGGCUGUGCAAGUCUGAAGUGAAAGCCCAGGGCUCAACCCUGGGACUGCUUUGGAAACUGUGGAGCUAGAGUGCUGGAGAGGUAAGUGGAAUUCCUAGUGUAGCGGUGAAAUGCGUAGAUAUUAGGAGGAACACCAGUGGCGAAGGCGGCUUACUGGACUGUAACUGACGUUGAGGCUCGAAAGCGUGGGGAGCAAACAGGAUUAGAUACCCCGGUAGUC